CCAGGCCAGGUCGCUGCGGGCCGCCGCGGGGCUGGGAAGGGCGUCCUGGGCUUGGGCCCCCGCGAGGUGCGCGUGACAGGGCCCGCAGCCCCCGCCUUACCGUCCCCAUCCCGCGACCCAGCAGGCCUAGAGUCGUUGCAGAAAGGCCUCGGGAGCUCACCCCCUCUUCAGUGCCAGCUCGGGCAUCAGCACGUCUUUCCCGCACGGUGGACAAUUUUGCCCCAGGAUCUUCACCGCCUCCACCAACCAUGGAAAGACAGAGAAGGCCGCCAGGAUGUGCAAGCCAGAGGCAGGCUUGCCCACAGGCCCUGGGCUGGAGGUGGGAGACCGACUGUGGGCGUCAGUAGCUGGACAAGGGCUCGAGCCUGGGCCCCAGCAUGUGCGGCCCCAGAGGUGAGUCCGGGAGGGGGUGACGGCAGGCCCCAGGCCAGUGAGGCAGGUGAAUCCGGAGACCCACCCAGGGGGCUGGGCGGCAGGCCGUAGGGCUCUGCCCCGGGGGUGGCUGGCCCUGCAGGGACAGGGCAGUGGCCCGACUGUAGGGGCUCAGGGGCCUGAGACAGGGGCCCCCGGGGCAGUGCUGCCGCAUGUCCACUGAGGACAGGGAGGCCCGGGGUGAGUGAGCCCGACCAGGAGCCCAGCACAGAGCCGACGAGGCCUCAGCAGGACUCAGGUGAGCCCCAGAGGUCGCACUGGGCUCCUAAGGGCCCCGGCCCGGUGGCCUCAGGACUUGAUGAGAUGACGUCUCCGAUUCCUUCCAUGUCUCCGUCCAAUCAGCGUGGUCAAGAGCACUGAGGACUCGGGAGCCUGGGCGGGUCGUUUGGUUCUGAGUCCGACUUUUGGCUCUGGCUCAGGUCGCGAGCUCAUGGGUGGUGGGACAGAGUCCCAGGCUGGGCUCGGUGCCCGCGGAGAGUCUGCUUGAAGCUUCUCUCCCUCUGCACCUGCCCACUCAUGCCAGUGUGUGCGCGUGCGCUCUCUCACUCUCGCUCACUCUCUAAUAAAUAAAUAAGUCUUUAAAUAAAAAAAAAAAAA
rnacentral:lncRNA from 1 species